UUCAAGUGGGUUUGAAAGUAUUCUGUAUUCCAUUCAUGUCGGGACAAGUACCCUCCAAGUAACAAGUAACAUCCAGUAUGCUGAGCAGUUGAAAACUCAAGGAGACAAGGGAAUCCCAGGCUAUGGAAAAGAAACAGAGCUGCUAUACAGCCAGACUUGCUUCCUUUCUUGAAUGGGACGGAAAUGGGAAGAAGAAACCAAAAAUGUUCCUUUAAUAAGAACGUUUCUGCAUGGUCCUGCCAUACCAGGAGAGGUGACAAAGGCACUGAACAAGGACCCAAAAUAAGUUAUCAUUACUCCUGGAGGGGGGAAAAAGCCAAGUAAGUGACAGCUGCUGAACUAUGGAUUCUGUGAACAGUCCAAGGACAAUCUGCUCUAUUCCAGACCACUUGGCUGCAAAAAAAUCCACAUAGUGUAUUUAAAAGACCAUAUACAACUCAAAAGCGGUGAAGUGAUGCCAUAGGGCAAAAAUAUUAGCUAGUAGCAAUGGCUUAUGACAGUGCAUAGGAGUCUUUUUGGAUAAAUAAGGUAAAACCAGGUAAGCUGGUUUUACUUUUAAUUUCUUAACUGCUGCUGAAUGAUCCCAGGUUAUGUGGCUAGGUGCACGGUGUGUGGUCUCUUCCCCUAACUUUAUUGGAUUGUUUAAGGGACACAGCUAUGAUGGAAGAUCAAUGGGAAUAAGACACUCGUAAGUAUUGCUUACAGAGGAUCUAUGUUCACAUCAAGACUGCUCAAUUAAUUCCAUGGAAGAGAAGCAAGGGAGCCAAAAGCAGGAGAAUGUUGAAGGGCUUUGCCUUAACCAUGCUUUGAGACAGAUGGUGCUACCCAAAGCUAAUGACAUACACAACUUGACAGUUAAGAGAUAUUGUCACUACUCCUGCAGACAUGACUUAUAAUAAUAAACUAAGCAAUGUCUUGGUUGAGUGCAAAUAAUCUUGGAUCACCUGGUGCUGCCUGAGUCUCUUAACUAUUUCAUCAGGUUGUCUUUCUGUCCCAAGGGUGUCCUAUGUACAACAGAAGAGGGCCAGCUGGUCCUUAAAGAGUGAUCACAAGUGUGUGGGAAUGGAGGAUGUAUAAGAGGUUUUUUUUCAUGGUCACUUGAAUUGUUCUUCUUUGGUUGUUGUUUGUUUUCAUGCCUAUUGCUAUGUGGAGUGCUGAGCUUUUAAUUGAUUGCUUUUAACUGGUAUUUCUUUAACAUUUUUUACCUUUUUAUAAUAAAGGUUAAAAAAAGA